rnacentral:rRNA from 1 species
AUUGAACGCUGGCGGCAGGCCUAACACAUGCAAGUCGAGCGGAGCGGCGUACGGGUGAGUAAUACCUAGGAAUCUGCCUGGUAGUGGGGGAUAACGUUCGGAAACGGACGCUAAUACCGCAUACUAUCAGAUGAGCCUAGGUCGGAUUAGCUAGUUGGUGAGGUAAUGGCCCACCAAGGCUACGCUCCGUAACUGGUCUGAGAGGAUGAUCAGUCACACUGGAACUGAGACACGAUCCAGACUCCUACGGGAGGCAGCAGUGGAGAAUAUUGGACAAUGGGCGAAAGCCUGAUCCAGCCAUGCCGCGUGUGUGAAGAAGGACUUCGGAUUGUAAAGCACUUGAAGUUAGGAGGCGUUAACGACAAAAUAAGCACCGACUAACUCUGUGCCAGCAGCCGCGGUAAUUC